AAAAAAGAUAUCACGUGACACACCCGCUCUUCAAGAUGGUGGUCACUGUAUUGCUGUGUCUGCAAGACGAGCUAGUCACGAAACUAUUUAAGAUUUGAGCGUUAACAUUUGCCAGUUUGCUUUUCGUUUAGUUAAUCAAACGUUUUGGGUGCCAGGGUAUCUCUCAAUACGAGUUAUAUAUUGUCAUAUUUGUUGGAGAAGAGUCGCGUUUUGAAGUAUGUGGGUCGUCUGCUGGACAGAUAGCUAUAGCUUACGUCAAAACAUGGCAGUAGUUAGUGACGACUUUUAUGAAACAGUCUGGGAUGUUUAGGAGCGUUUUCUUGGUUUGAGGGAUCAAAAUGUCGCUCAGAGAGCUGAAAGUGUGCUUGCUUGGGGACACUGGGGUUGGGAAGUCAAGUAUUGUGUGCAGAUUUGUAGAGGACAGCUUUGAUCCCAACAUUAAUCCUACAAUUGGUGCAUCAUUUAUGACGAAGACAGUACAGUACCAAAAUGAGCUCCAUAAGUUUCUUAUUUGGGACACAGCAGGACAAGAAAGGUUUCGUGCCCUUGCCCCUAUGUACUACAGAGGCUCAGCUGCAGCAAUCGUUGUUUAUGACAUUACAAAAGAGGAGUCCUUUCUAACUUUGAAGAACUGGGUAAAAGAGCUCCGUCAACAUGGACCGCCCAACAUAGUGGUGGCCAUUGCUGGCAACAAAUGUGAUCUCUCUGAUGCCAGGCAGAGCCAAAGAGCCUACUGGGACAGAAUGCCCCUGCUUGUGAACCUGAGAUGUCUGGCAAGACCUUCGUUUCCACUGGUGGUCACUAGUCAUGCUGGUGGUAUAAAACACUUCCCCAAGCAGAUCUGCUGUCCCAAAUGGAUGGCACAUUUGGCACCCCCAGCCAGGUCAACUCUGUCUGUGGGUCUGGCUCCUCGUGCUGAAACAUCAACUGAGGACUGCAACUUGGGAGGUACUGGAGAAGGAUGCCAAGGACUAUGCUGACUCUAUCCAUGCUAUUUUUGUUGAAACUAGUGCCAAAAAUGCUAUUAACGUCAAUGAAAUCUUCACUGAGAUAAGUCAGAAGAUUCCACUUUUAGACACGAGUGACUCAGGUGUGAGGGGCUUGAAACUGCGACGUGAUCAAUCAGACGUAACCAGGGAACGCACUUGCUGCUAAUGCACAAUUAGGCCAAAUCUAUUUCUACCUUCUUUCACCUCUUCAUUACUAAGAAACAGAAUGGAUAACAGUGAAAUUAUAAUAGGAGCACAGGAUCUUAAUGACAUCACCACCUUGGAAUCUUCCUCAGUCUAAACCCCAAACAGAGCCCUUUGUAGGAAAAAAGAAAAAAAAUUCUGCCCAUUGCAUUGCUCUCUGGAGUUCUUGUUACAAAGGAAACUGCUACUCUUAUGACUGUUUGUCUGUGGCUAACUAAAGUGGAAUAGACUUCGGUAUACCAGCUCUGGUCUCUCAGACCUCAAGUCACUUUGUGUUUAUUUUUUGUAAAUCUUAAAACAUCUAAAAGGAAAAAGAAAAAAGACACUGGUUUUAUUCCUGUUGAGAAAACAAAAUGUUGCUCUGGAUCUCUGUUCCUCCAUAACCUAUAUCAAUACAUCUUUGUGUGCAUACUUGAGGCUCAUAUGGUUUCCUUUUUAGAUUUUAUGAUAAGGUAAGUUUUCUGACUGAUUGUGGAUCAGAAGUAACUAAGCAAAUUGUACAAAAAAGAAAUUAAUCUAUCUACUUUAAGACUAUGGACCAACAUUUAUCUGAAGAAGUGUUGCUGAUGUUUUUUCUUGUGGUAGAAUCAUUUUGGGCUUUUUGGAAUCCUUUUUUCCUUUCAGCUUGCAUCAAGAGAAUUCAAUGGCCUGAUCCAACAGUAUGAUUUACACAGUGAAUACGCUCCAUUUCAUAUAGUUCCAAAUUGGUUCCAUGGUUAAAUGUGUCACUAGCAGAAUCAGUGUUGAUCAUUUUUAGUGUUGUGGUAGUCUUUUUUAGUGUUAUGUUAGUCUUGAAUUGACUGAAGUCCACCAUUUAAGUCACACAUCCCCAAUCCUGGUCCUGGUCAGAGGGAGUACCGUCUGUCAUUUUAGUAUUUUCUCUACUCCCAACACACCUGAUUCAACUAAUCAGCUAAUUAACAGCCCUUCCUAAGUUGAAGUGGGUGUGUUAGAGGAGGGAAACUCUAAAUUGUGCAGGACAGAGGGUACUCCAGAGCCAGGGUGAUUUAACACGUUUCUAAUUAAUUAAUCUAUUUCUAAUAAAUCACAUUCACUUCUUUCUAAUUCCACAGAGUUUCUGCUAGGAAGUUUUGGUGCCCUGUUUGGUGUCUGGGAAUGUUGCAGUUUACCAGAUAAAUCAGUAUAAUUCUGGUCGUAUGUUAACUACUACUGCUGCAAGAAAACACUGAAAUUUUGGGCUAUACAAAAAUGACACCAUGAAGUAAAAUUAACAUUUAAUUAACUUUUUUUUUUUUACACACAGUCAAUAUGUAAAUAAACAUAUAUAAAAUAGUGAACGGGCCUUUGAAAGCAACAAACAGCCGAGAACAAGAAAACACACUAACAAAAAAUAUUACUUUAAGACACGGCUGCUAAUAACAUUUUAUUUAGCUUUACUUUAACUCGAUUGAAAUGUGUUUAAAGAAGCACCCAAACCUUUCAACGCAUAUUCUCAAAUGUAUGACAUUUCUGCUUAUUUAUAGCUGGACCAGCGUUAUAAGUCUCUGACCUGAACAUGUUCCACACUGUCUUGAUUAGGCUGAUAAGAAUCGCUUGCUUUUAGGAAGAAACUUUGAAAAGUCGACUGUUUUGCAAUUGUCUGUAUUAACUGUGUGAUUGUACAGUGACCAUUUACUGGUCGGUCUCGAUAUCAGCCACCUUGAGUUCCACAAGGAAAAGGAAGUUUCAACUUUGAAAUUUGAAUUGAGUAAAGUAGUAUCUGGCUGGGUAAGAGGAAAUUUUAAUUGUGACUGUGACAGGAAUCUUUCUGAAGAUUCUGUGACUGAAUAACGUAUCUGGAUUUUCUGUGCACGUCAGCAGCAAGUUCCACCUAUAAGAACAUCCAGAGUUUCCAUCCCUCAAACAAACCCCCAAUGACAAGAUUUGUACUUUGCUAUCUGUCUAAUUUUCUCAGAUAAAAUGGAUAUUAAAAAUGCUUGGUAACCAUUUAGCAAACUA